rnacentral:rRNA from 1 species
CGCAUCUGUGCAUGCAGCAUAUCAAUAAGCGGAGGAAAAGAAACUAACAAGGAUUCCCUUAGUAACGGCGAGUGAAGCGGGAAGAGCUCAAAUUUGAAAUCUUCAAGGUUUUACCUUGACGAAUUGUAGUUUAAAGAAGUGUUUUCUGCUGAAGUUUUGGUAAAAGUUCUUUGGAAUAGGACAUCAUAGAGGGUGAGAAUCCCGUAUUUGACCAUUAUUUUCAGCUUUGUGAUACACUUUCAAAGAGUCGGAUUGUUUGGGAAUGCUAGUCCAAAAUGGGUGGUAAAUUUCAUCUAAAGCUAAAUAUUGGCGAGAGACCGAUAGCGAACAAGUACCGUGAGGGAAAGAUGAAAAGAACUUUGAAAAGAGAGUUAAACAGUACGUGAAAUUGUCAAAAGGGAAGCGUUUGACACCAGUGUUGUUUUCUCGAAAAUCAAUUAAAAAUGGCUCGAUUUUGUAUUGCUGAGACCUUAAAAGCUCACUGUACAUUUUUCGUGUCUUUUUUAAUGCACUUUUCGUUUAACAAGUCAACAUCAGUUUCUUUUGUUGUAAAAGGGUCAUUGGAAGGUGGCUUUCUUUUCGGAGAAAGUGUUUAUAGCCUUUGGACUCCUGCAAUCGGAGAGACUGAGGUCUGCAGCGUAGACUCCUUCGGGGUUAGAUACAUUUGUGCUAAGUUAUAGCUUUUUAUAGACAACUUGUUGACUAUGAAUUAGUCUUGUAGCUUACUCGCUUAUGCUAUUUUACCUACGCUUAGGAUGUUGAAGAUAUGCGCGACACGACUCUAUACAUGACUCUGCGCAUAUCAAUAAGCGGAGGAAAAGUAAACUUACCUACGCUUAGGAUGUUGAACUCUAUCACACACAG